GUAGGUGAACCUGCGGAGGGAUCAUUACACAAUAACAAGGCGGGCUGGACACCCCCCGCUGGGCACUGCUUCACGGCGUGCGCGGCGGGGCCGGCCCUGCUGAAUUAUUCACCCGUGUCUUUUGCGUACUUCUUGUUUCCUGGGUGGGCUCGCCCGCCCUCAGGACCAACCACAAACCUUUUGCAAUAGCAAUCAGCGUCAGUAACAACGUAAUAAAUUACAACUUUCAACAACGGAUCUCUUGGUUCUG
rnacentral:misc_RNA from 1 species